AUGCCGCUGGUAGUGAUCGAUGCUUCGCAGGCACCUACGGAGAAGGGGUGGGUGGAGGUCGGGGGCCAGCAUCGCCGGAGGCUGGAGAAACUGUCUGCCCCGCCCCGCAAGAAGGACACCGACCGCUCCCUUGCUUUCAAGAGGAGAGCUUAUGGGCUCUGCUUCCGUUGCUUGGCGGAGGACCACUUCGUCGCCGACUGUCGUGGGCCUGUCACCUUCCUGGGUUGCGGCCGCUAUGGGCAUCGCGAGCGCGGCUGUCCGGGCCGCCUCCCUACCGGCAAUGGUCAUCUCCGCGGCUCCCUGUCGCCGCCGGCUGCUCCUCGCCUCCAACACCCGUCCCCAGCUCCUUCACCGCAGUUGCGGCAGCGCUCGUGGGCAACAGUUGUUGCCGCCCCGACUGGGCUCGUUCAAGGGGCCCCUUGUAGCAACUCUGGCACCCCCUGGUCGGGUCAGUCCGGCCCUGACGAGUCGGCCUUGGCUGCUGAUUUGGGGCUGCUGCAACCCCUCUUUGCAGCUCAGACCGAGGCGUUGCGCGCCGAGUUGCAGGCUCUGGUUACCGCUCGUGUGGAGGAUGUCGUUCAACCCCUCCGCGACAUGGCGGUUGCUCUGCAGGGUUGGGCGGCCCAGGUCUCGAGCCUCUUGGAGCAGUUGGAGGCUAUCAGUGGCAAAGUAGUGGGGAACAGUGGGGGAUCUUCCUCCUUGGCGCCUUUGGGUUCGCCUCCUCCCUGGUGCGAGCAUGAGGAGCCACCGGCGCCUCUUGUUAUUGCCUAUGGCAAGGAUGUCAGUCAGGCGGGAGUGGCCGGGUGCUCGUCUGAGGUGCUGGCAACUGUGGCGCUGCCUGCAGAUGUUCUUCCUACGUUGGAUGUCGUUCUGCACAAGACGGUGAUUCUAGGAGAGGAGGAGCAAGCUAAGGUGGCUGAGAUAGUCAUAGCGAGCAAUGAUAUGGAGCAGAUUGAGGUGGCCUUGCCUGAUGGUUUGGUUGGAGAGGUGCCUCCCUUCGUCCCCUCUUCAGUGAAGCUUGCUUCAGGGGGCACUACCAAUAUGAUGUCUUCUGGGUCCGAGGAACCAGUUGGUGAUAUUGGCGUGCCAUCAACUACCUUGUUGGAUGAGUUCCUAAGCAGUUUCAGUUGCGCGGCAUCGCGGUCCUUGCUCGAGGAACCUAUUCAUGUGCAGAUUGAAGGGGCAUCUUCUUGUUCCGAGAGGCGUAGUGGACGUUUGGAUAAUAAGAAUAGAAACAACAACAUUCCUACUGCCAAACGCGCUGAAUAUAGGUUGGCAGAGGCUUAUGGGGAACUACCGAAGGGGAUGAAAUCUAAGAAAGGCUCCGAAGAGGAUGUGCAAGAGAAGAUGAACUCUUAUCUACGGAUGUACAAGAAACCCCCUACGCCGACAGCGACCCAGGCAAUUCGUGCAUUGGUGGAGGCCAAUGGUUGA
rnacentral:rRNA from 1 species